rnacentral:rRNA from 1 species
CAAGUCGAACGCGAAAGGGGCUUCGGCCCUGAGUAGAGUGGCGAACGGGUGAGUAACGCGUGGGUGACCUACCUUCGAGUGGGGGAUAACGUCCCGAAAGGGACGCUAAUACCGCAUGACAUCCUGCCCUUGAAUGGGUGGAGAUCAAAGCCGGGGAUCGCAAGACCUGGCGCUUGGAGAGGGGCCCGCGUCCGAUUAGCUAGUUGGUGGGGUAAUGGCUCACCAAGGCAACGAUCGGUAGCCGGCCUGAGAGGGCGGACGGCCACACUGGGACUGAGACACGGCCCAGACUCCUACGGGAGGCAGCAGUGGGGAAUUGUUCACAAUGGGCGCAAGCCUGAUGACGCAACGCCGCGUGGAGGAUGAAGGUCUUCGGAUUGUAAACUCCUGUUGCUCGGGAAGAAAAGCUCCGACCUAACACGUCGGAGUCUGACGGUACCGGGUGAGGAAGCCCCGGCUAACUCUGUGCCAGCAGCCGCGGUAAUACAGAGGGGGCAAGCGUUGUUCGGAAUUACUGGGCGUAAAGGGCGCGUAGGCGGCCUGUUAAGUCGAACGUGAAAUCCCCGGGCUCAACCCGGGAACUGCGUCCGAUACCGGCAGGCUUGAAUUCGGGAGAGGGAUGUGGAAUUCCAGGUGUAGCGGUGAAAUGCGUAGAUAUCUGGAGGAACACCGGUGGCGAAGGCGGCAUCCUGGACCGAUAUUGACGCUGAUGCGCGAAAGCCAGGGGAGCAAACGGGAUUAGAUACCCCGGUAGUCCUGGCCCUAAACGAUGAAUGCUUGGUGUGGCGGGUAUCGAUCCCUGCCGUGCCGAAGCUAACGCGUUAAGCAUUCCGCCUGGGGAGUACGGUCGCA